GUCGAGCGGUAACACAGAGGAGCUUGCUCCUUGGGUGACGAGCGGCGGACGGGUGAGUAAAGUCUGGGGAUCUGCCUGAUGGAGGGGGAUAACUACUGGAAACGGUAGCUAAUACCGCAUGACGUCUUCGGACCAAAGUGGGGGACCUUCGGGCCUCACGCCAUGAGAUGAACCCAGAUGGGAUUAGCUGGUAGGUGAGGUAACGGCUCACCUAGGCGACGAUCCCUAGCUGGUCUGAGAGGAUGACCAGCCACACUGGAACUGAGACACGGUCCAGACUCCUACGGGAGGCAGCAGUGGGGAAUAUUGCACAAUGGGGGAAACCCUGAUGCAGCCAUGCCGCGUGUGUGAAGAAGGCCUUCGGGUUGUAAAGCACUUUCAGCGGGGAGGAAGGCAAUAAACCUUAAUAAGUUUGUUGAUUGACGUUUACCCGCAGAAGAAGCACCCGGCUAACUCCGUGCCAGCAGCGCGGUAAUACGGAGGGUGCAAGCGUUAAUCGGAAUGACUGGGCGUAAAGCGCACGCAGGCGGUCUGUUAAGUUGGAUGUGAAAUCCCCGGGCUCAACCCGGGAACAGCAUUCAAAACUGACAGGCUAGAGUCUCGUAGAGGGGGGUAGAAUUCCAGGUGUAGCGGUGAAAUGCGUAGAGAUCUGGAGGAAUACCGGUGGCGAAGGCGGCCCCCUGGACGAAGACUGACGCUCAGGUGCGAAAGCGUGGGGAGCAAACAGGAUUAGAUACCCUGGUAGUCCACGCCGUAAACGAUGUCGACUUGGAGGCUGUGGUCUUGAACCGUGGCUUCCGGAGCUAACGCGUUAAGUCGACCGCCUGGGGAGUACGGCCGCAAGGUUAAAACUCAAAUGAAUUGACGGGGGCCCGCACAAGCGGUGGAGCAUGUGGUUUAAUUCGAUGCAACGCGAAGAACCUUACCUACUCUUGACAUCCAGAGAAGACUGUAGAGAUACGGUUGUGCCUUCGGGAGCUCUGAGACAGGUGCUGCAUGGCUGUCGUCAGCUCGUGUUGUGAAAUGUUGGGUUAAGUCCCGCAACGAGCGCAACCCUUAUCCUUUGUUGCCAGCGAUACGGUCGGGAACUCAAAGGAGACUGCCGGUGAUAAACCGGAGGAAGGUGGGGAUGACGUCAAGUCAUCAUGGCCCUUACGAGUAGGGCUACACACGUGCUACAAUGGCGCAUACAAAGAGAAGCGAGCCUGCGAGGGUGAGCGGACCUCAUAAAGUGCGUCGUAGUCCGGAUUGGAGUCUGCAACUCGACUCCAUGAAGUCGGAAUCGCUAGUAAUCGUAGAUCAGAAUGCUACGGUGAAUACGUUCCCGGGCCUUGUACACACCGCCCGUCACACCAUGGGAGUGGGUUGCAAAAGAAGUAGGUAG
rnacentral:rRNA from 1 species